CUGGGGAUAGGUUAUCCGUGCUCUGAGUCUGAGAAGGGGAUUUGGGGGAGGCUUAAGGUAGAAACAAAAGAUCUCAGUUUUGCCAUCCAAAUCAACCCAUGGCCAGAUCAGAUUUAGGGUAAAUUGAUUUAAUGGUCAGGAAUGCAUUUGGUGGCCAGUCUUCCAGGGGGCCCAUGAAAGUUCAGGAUUUCUUCUGAAUUUUGUCCUUGGAGGUGUGGGAAGAAUGAAUAUUGAAUAUUCAUACUCAACAUGAAUAUUUUGGAAGCUGGGCCUGAAAGUUAAGGUUCACUGAAAGCUAAAAAUGAGAUGAACUCAGUGAAAGUACUGUGGAAAGAGGCACCUGGCUGGAUAUUUGAAUCUUCUUAACCCUGAGCUCUGCUUCAGUCUCAUCUGUUGUGUUCAUGACAUGACUCUCUAAUCACUAUGGGCAAUUGGGAAAAUGGUUAUUUUCAAAAAGAAAUUGACUUGUCUCUUCGUAGUUUAAUGUAGAAGCAGGUAUAGUUUGGUUAUGGUGAAAUCUGGUCCAAUGACGGCAUCCACAGAUGAGGCCAAAGCUUGAAUGCCCUUGGAGCCUAUACUGCUUUUAGGCCCUGGCAGAAACAUGGUUUUUAAAUCACAUUCCAAAGUGCAAUUACCAACAAUGAAUAAAUACAUCAUAACAAUGGGGGAAGCAGAAAAUGACUUUAGAAAGACAGAGUGAUCUUUUGAGACACAGUCUAUAUAAUUCCUAGGAAGCCCUGAUAGUAUCUUCUUGGGAAAUCUCCCUGCUGCAGGAAACUGCCUUCCUAGAUUUUACCUCACUGCCUCUAGUUGCAGUUACUUCAGGUAAACAGACCUCCUUUUAACUGUGACUCUUCCUCAGAGAACCAAAAUAUGCUUUGUUUUUUCUUGGGCCCUAUAGGAUCCUGGUUUGGGAUAAAUCUCAUAUGUCUAUUUUCCAAAGAUCAUUUUGGUUUCUCUGUAUUUGUAAAUGCACUUGAUUGUAAUCACAAAAGAAAAGACAGUGAUGCACUGUGUUGGCUCUGAAGAAAAACAUUGACCAGACAGAAAGUCUUCCCCAUAGCCAAACUGAGCUGUAAUGACCGUGCUUUUCAUUUCUCCCAGGAAAUAGUAAUAUAAUUGGUCACUGUAUUACAGUAAACAGUUUGUUCAUUCUUUGUUCAGUAGAAAAUGUUUGGGAGAUAUGUCUCACAUAAUAUGCUGGCUUCACGAUAAUAAAGACUGGGAAUAGAUUUGUUUCUAAAUAAAUCUCAAUAAAUACAUUGGUAAAAUGAACACAGUAGGAAGAAUAAACAAUGCA
rnacentral:lncRNA from 1 species